rnacentral:rRNA from 1 species
CCAGCAUUCAGUUGGGCACUCUAAGGUGACUGCCGGUGACAAACCGGAGGAAGGUGGGGAUGACGUCAAAUCAUCAUGCCCCUUAUGACCUGGGCUACACACGUGCUACAAUGGACAGAACAAAGGGCAGCGAAACCGCGAGGUUAAGCCAAUCCCACAAAUCUGUUCUCAGUUCGGAUCGCAGUCUGCAACUCGACUGCGUGAAGCUGGAAUCGCUAGUAAUCGCGGAUCAGCAUGCCGCGGUGAAUACGUUCCCGGGCCUUGUACACACCGCCCGUCACACCACGAGAGUUUGUAACACCCGAAGUCGGUGAGGUAACCUUUUAGGAGCCAGCCGCCGAAGGUGGGACAGAUGAUUGGGGUGAAGUCGUAACAAGGUAGCCGUAUCGGAAGGUGCGGCUGGAUCACCUCCUUU